AUACGGAGGGUGCAAGCGUUAAUCGGAAUUACUGGGCGUAAAGCGCGCGUAGGCGGCUUUGUAAGUCGGAUGUGAAAGCCCUGGGCUCAACCUGGGAAUUGCACUCGAUACUGCAGAGCUAGAGUAUGGUAGAGGGAAGUGGAAUUUCCGGUGUAGCGGUGAAAUGCGUAGAUAUCGGAAGGAACACCAGUGGCGAAGGCGACUUCCUGGGCCAAUACUGACGCUGAGGUGCGAAAGCGUGGGGAGCAAACGGGAUUAGAUACCCGAGUAGUCC
rnacentral:rRNA from 1 species